rnacentral:rRNA from 1 species
UACGUAGGAUGCGAGCGUUGUCCGGAAUUAUUGGGCGUAAAGAGAACGUAGGCGGUUUGCCAAGUUUGAUCUUAAAGACCGGGGCUUAACUCCGGGAGUGGAUCGAAAACUGGCAGACUAGAGGACGUCAGAGGAAAGUGGAAUCCCCAGUGUAGCGGUGAAAUGCGUAGAUAUUGGGAGGAACACCAGUGGCGAAAGCGACUUUCUGGGACGUUCCUGACGCUGAGGUUCGAAAGCUCGGGGAGCAAACAGG